CUCAAGCUGCAGCCGUAUGCACAGUCUUCUGUCACCAACGACCCCUGCAAGAAACUCGCCUACAAGUUCUUCGGUCACUUCUUGGUGACGGAACGGAUCGGCAUGCUGGCAUAUCGACUCCAACUGCCACCGGACAGCCGCAUCCACCCAGUAUUUCACGUCUCUCAGUUGAAGCCGUUCACUCCAGAUUAUACUCAUGUGUUCUCCGAACUACCUUGAGUGCCGGACAUCGCAGGCGAGCAAACUGAACCAGUGGCAAUCCUGGAGCAACGCAUGAUGAAGAAGGGGGAUGUGCCGGUGGUGCAAGUGCACAUUCAAUGGGCAAACAUGUCGGCGGCGGCCACAACCUGGGAAGACUACGACAUCCUUCGCCAUCGGUACCCUUCAGCCUGUAUCUGGGAAGGGGCUUCUUCACAAGAGGGGGACAAUGUCGCGCCUGCAGAUGUUGUUACUGGAUCAGCAUCGGACUAG
rnacentral:rRNA from 1 species